GAUAAACGCUGGCGGCGUGCCUAAUGCAUGCAAGUCGAACGGAGUGAUCUUCGGAUUGCUUAGUGGCAAACGGGUGAGUAACACGUAGGUGACCUACCUCUAAGUGGGGAAUAACGACAAGAAAUUGUCGCUAAUACCGCAUGUGGUCUGUCGUUCGUUCGGCAGACUAAAGGAUGCAAAUCCGCUUGGAGAGGGGCCUGCGGCUGAUUAGCUAGUUGGUGGGGUAAUGGCGUACCAAGGCGAUGAUCAGUAGCUGGUCUGAGAGGAUGAUCAGCCACACUGGGACUGAGACACGGCCCAGACUCCUACGGGAGGCAGCAGCAAGGAAUCUUCCGCAAUGGGCGAAAGCCUGACGGAGCAACGCCGCGUGGGUGACGAAGCCCUUCGGGGUGUAAACUCCUUUUAUAAGGGAAGAUAAUGACGGUACCUUAUGAAUAAGCACCGGCUAACUCCGUGCCAGCAGCCGCGGUAACAC
rnacentral:rRNA from 1 species